rnacentral:rRNA from 1 species
UACGGAAGGCAGCAGUGGGGAAUAUUGCACAAUGGGCGAAAGCCUGAUGCAGCUAUGCCGCGUGUAUGAAGAAGGCCUUAGGGUUGUAAAGUACUUUCAUCGGGGAGGAAAAACAAAACUAAUAAUUUUAUUUCUUGACGUUACCCGAAAAAGAAGCACCGGCUAACUCCGUGCCAGCAGCCGCGGUAAUACGGAGGGUGCUAGCGUUAAUCAGAAUUACUGGGCGUAAAGAGCACGUAGGUGGUUUUUUAAGUCAGAUGUGAAAUCCCUGGGCUUAACCUAGGAACUGCAUUUUGAAACUGAAAUACUAGAGUAUCGUAGAGGGAGGUAGAAUUCUAGGUGUAGCGGUGAAAUGCGUAGAUAUCUGGAGGAAUACCUGUGGCGAAAGCGGCCUCCUAAACGAAUACUGACACUGAGGUACGAAAGCGUGGGGAGCAAACAGGGAUUAGAUACC